AGGGAACGGCGGAAUCGAUCGCAGCGCCGGAACCGGGAGGCGGAGGCCGAGGGGCUGCGAGGCUGCACCGGGGCGAACCCCCUCCCAACCCCCCCCCUCCGUAUCCCACCCCGCUGGGGGUAUCGGGGCGCGGGGCUGCACCCCAUGGAGGGGAAGUUCCUCCAGCCGAAGAUGGGGGCGACUUCGGGUUCACUGUAGUGGAGCAUUUUCACUUCCGAGUCGCUCAGCCCAAAGUCCCACAUGUAGACGUCGGACAUCUCCCCCGUGAAGGACUGCAGAACGUCGAAGCCUCCCCCGUAGGCGUCCUGCUCCUGCCCCAGCACCACCACGGCCUCGUUGCCCACCACGUAGCCCUUCUGCAGCCCUUUGCGGGGCCACGGGCGCCCGUUGAGCCAGAAGCGCACGAUGCCGCUGGGUGACUCCCAGGUGACGCAGACGUGCUCUGGGUCCAUGUAGUUCUCGGGGAUGUGGAAGGCGACGUAUUUCCCCCCCACGUAGAAGUGGUACUCGGUGGGUUUGAAUUUGAGGAGGAGGAUCUCGUUGUCCUGCUCCUUGGUGGCGUAGGAGAAGAGGCUGUGGGGCCGGGUGAGGUCGGUGUAGGAGCGCAGGCACACGGUGAAGUUGAGCAGGGGGUGCUCUGGCCGUGCCUGCAGCAGCACGUAGGAAUCGUUGGACGCUUGGGGGAACACGAACACUCUGUACUUCAGGUCUGGGAGAGAGAGGCUGCACAGCCCCACGAGGAAGGAGAGGAGGCAGAAGCGUGGCGUCCCCAUGACCCCACCUCAGUGACAAUGGCAGAGGCACCGCUCCAGGGGACUUCCCAGAAGGAAGGCACUCCCACCUGAUUUUCUCCCUGGACUGCGAGGGCACUGACCCACGUGUCGCUGUGUGGACAUUGGCCCCGCAUCCCACAGGUGGACGUCCGCCAUCUCCCCCGUGAACGAGUUGUAGACGUCGAAGCCUCCCCCGUAGGCGUCCUGCUCCUGCCCCAGCAUCACCACGGCCUCGUUGCCCACCUCGUAGCCCUUCUGCAGCCCUUUGCGGGGCCACGGGCGCCCGUUGAGCCAGAACUCGGCGAUGCCGCUGCCCGACUCCCAGCUGGCGCAGACGUGUUCCCAUUCCCCGCGGUUCUCGGGGACGCGGAAGAAGGCAGUGAGGAGCAGCAUGAGGGGCGCGAGGCAGCAGUGCAGCCCCCCCAGCGCCGUGCUCAGCCCCAGCGCGAAAUCAAAGCUCUCAAAGGCACUGCAGGUGAGCGGCAUCACCCCCACCUCCAGCAGGAGCUCCACCACCACCACCACCCCAUAGGGUGCCCACAACCCCCAGAACAGCCACCCCACCCCGCGCCCCAUCGCACCCCGCAUCCCCCUCAGCACCGCAGCCGUCAGCAGCGCUCCGGGCAGCAGCAGAAGGACGCAGCAACACACGCCCUCAUCGUAGAUGGAGUUGAAGAGGUCCAGGAGGAACGAGGAGGUUCUGUUCACCACGAUUUCAGGGCUCUGUGAAGGACAGGAGGUGCCGUGUGCUGCGGGGUGACGCUGAGUUGGCCCCUCCGGUGGCCACGUGCCGCGCUUUAUCAGGGAGGGACAGUGUGGGGAGUGCUGAUAUCCCAGGGUGUGGUUUCAUCCCAAGCCAAGAAAACCCGUUUUCUUGCA